AUUGAACGCUGGCGGCAGGCUUAACACAUGCAAGUCGAGCGGAGAUGAGGUGCUUGCACCUUAUCUUAGCGGCGGACGGGUGAGUAAUGCUUAGGAAUCUGCCUAUUAGUGGGGGACAACAUUCCGAAAGGAAUGCUAAUACCGCAUACGUCCUACGGGAGAAAGCAGGGGAUCUUCGGACCUUGCGCUAAUAGAUGAGCCUAAGUCGGAUUAGCUAGUUGGUGGGGUAAAGGCCUACCAAGGCGACGAUCGGUAGCGGGUCUGAGAGGAUGGUCCGCCACACUGGGACUGAGACACGGCCCAGACUCCUACGGGAGGCAGCAGUGGGGAAUAUUGGACAAUGGGGGGAACCCUGAUCCAGCCAUGCCGCGUGUGUGAAGAAGGCCUUAUGGUUGUAAAGCACUUUAAGCGAGGAGGAGGCUACUGAGACUAAUACUCUUGGAUAGUGGACGUUACUCGCAGAAUAAGCACCGGCUAACUCUGUGCCGGCCGCCGCCGUAAUAC
rnacentral:rRNA from 1 species